ACAAUACCCGAUCGUUCGAUUUGCAUUUUGGUUUCAACUUUUAUCAAAAUGAUUUAUAGUACAACUCAUCGCCGUAUUAGAAUAUCAAAAAUAAAACACCGCGUGCCCGAACGACGCAUGGCUCAAACGAGUGCGCAUCGGCGUUCGGUCACAAGUGGUCUUAUUUUUUUUAUAUUCAAUCACGGCGAUUGGAAAAUCGCUAAACUUUAAGAUUAAGAUCGAGAGAGAGAGCAAGAUUUUGGACCAUUGAAUUCGAAAAUCCAAAAGUAUUGUCAUCGAUCUAUACAGACGCAUCCAUUAAAUGUUCACUAGACAUUGAUUACUCUGUCAGAUAUCAUUUUUUAUAUUUGUGAAUGGUGUCUUGCAUAUGAAUAAAAGACGAUCUGGUUCAAUGACACAUCACCCCAACGACAAAACAUACAUUUAUGUUUGCUAUAGGGCUUCAUACGUCUGUGCACAAACUGCCAAAAUAGCACCAUUUUGAAAUCUUAACAUUACUAUUUAGAUAUGAGCCAUGAACUUAACCGAUAAGACAUUUUGCUACAAGGUAACUGUCACAGGGUGAAUUUGUUUACUCACAUAUAUGUUGUUAUUUUGGUUGUUAAUUCUAUUUCGAUUUGCAGAACGUCAGUAUCUUAUAAAUGCUAUAUUCUGCAGACUUCGGUGUAUAAUACAUGUCCACAUUUUACAUCUAAUUAAUUAAGUAGUGUCCACUAUUUACUUGGGCAUUUACCGGUAAACUUGUCGAACGGGUUGAGUAACAGUGAUACCUGUAUUUGAUGAGCUGACUAUUCACUCUCAGGUAACACCUUAACGAGUCAAUGUGUGGUCAGAAAUGUUUGUAUAAAGUUAGUUUACAAUGUGGCGUGGACACACACACUGGAUUUCUGAGGUCCCAGUUUGCGGGCUAGGUGUAUGUAGUUUUGUAUUGUAAAGUAUGGAGAUAUAGUACAGAUGGUGGUGAAACCUGUUGACAGUGCGGCGUUCCGUGUUUAUCAUCAAUAGUUUGGCAACAUAGAAUAUUUGGAGUCGAGUCUAGACAAUAGGGCAGCCGUAAUGUGUACAUCGCUUAUGUUGGGCCAGUUUUGUGUAGUUACCGAAAACCAAAUACGUAAAAUUCCGUAGUAUCGUUUAUCCAGAUUUCAUAGUUUAAUAUAAAGAAGAAGGAACAGUUCAUUAAACAUUUGACAGUAUUAUUUCAUUUGAUUUCAUCUAUUUAUAUUUGUAAAUUUGUACCUAAUUAAAUUGUUAUUUUGUUUAAA